GCUUUGCUUCUCUCCAAGCUCAGCUGAGCUGUGCUGAUGGCCUGCUGUAGUGUGGAGGUGGGAUCCCUUCCUGGCUGCUGGAGAGCUGGGAAGGAUGGUGCAGCAAAGGCCACCCUGAGCAUGUGACAAGGAGAGGUGAUGUCACCACGGCGCUCUGUGACCCCCCACGCUGCUCUCCCUUCUCCAAGACCUUCACUCCACCUGUGCCCGCCACGAGCUCAGUGAUGAAAGUCGGUGGAAAGCAGGUGGGGGUGCUGGGAAGGAAACUCCGGCACGGACAGCAGAGCAAACCUCUCCUUCCCUGCCCUGCCUCGCUUCAUUUGCAACACAGCUGCAAAUCCUGAAUGUCCCUGCCUACAG